rnacentral:misc_RNA from 1 species
GAUCGGUGCGAUCGGCAAAGCCGGUGAUCACCUCGUUGGGGUCGAGGCCCGACUUCUCCCGUCCCUCAUAGAGCCAGGAUUCGGCGCGCGCGGCGUCUUCCGCCGGCGGCAGAUAGGUGAAGGUCAGGAAAUAGCUCGACUCGAAAUGCGCGCCGGCCUCCUCGAAAUCCGCCCUGCGCUCGGCAUCGACCAGCGCGGAGGCAGCGUCGGGAAAGCGGCUGUCGGGAUAGAGGUUCGAAGGGUGGCGUUGGGCUUCGACGAAGAUCGCCCAGCCGGAGCCGAGGCGACGGAAGGCGUUGUUGAGGCGGCC